UACGUAGGGGGCAAGCGUUGUCCGGAAUCAUUGGGCGUAAAGAGCGUGUAGGCGGCCAGAAAAGUCCGCUGUGAAAACUCGAGGCUCAACUUCGAGCUGUCGGUGGAAACUUUCUGGCUAGAGUCCGGAAGAGGAGAAUGGAAUUCCUGGUGUAGCGGUGAAAUGCGCAGAUAUCGGGAGGAACACCAGUAGCGAAGGCGGCUCGCUGGGCCAUUCCUGACGCUGAGACGCGAAAAGCUAGGGGGAGCGAACAGG
rnacentral:rRNA from 1 species